CUAUUGCUAUAAAGAGGCUCCAGGGGCCCGAGAAAAAGAUGGAAAGAAGAAAUCAAUCAGUCAUCCAAAAAGCCUUUAUUCUCCCACUUGGUUCCUUUUCCAGAGCUUGUACUUCUCUAAGUUCUAGAACAGGGUCAGGGUGACAGUGCCAGGGAGGGGAGCCUCUGGGCCCAUGCUCGUACAUGGGUGUGAACUCCUUGCCCAGCUUCACGGGCCCAGGCUGUGCAUGCCUCGCACAGGGGUUAGACAAGUCGUGGGUGCAGGAGAGCCCACUCCCGGGGCUGUAAGGAAGGAGGAAUUCCAUUGUGAGACCAAGCAGAAGCAUUAGGAAAAUUAACCUCAUUUCAACAUUGCAGGUUCUUUCGAAGAGAUGUCAUGAAUGAGGAGGUUCAGCUGUUCUCCAGGACCCAGUCCCUCAGGGGGUUCCUCAGAGAACUGGCAUCGGCCGAAGCAGACCCAGGGGCUGGGUUCCCGGAGAGAUGCUGCCUUCCUUCAUCCCCACAGGCAGCCCAUCUUGGAUCCAAGGAUGAAGGCUUUGGAGGUCUUCCCAGCGGUGUGGAGACCCACCUGUCCAGCCGCAGCUGGCACACGAUGCCCAGAAUGUCCACUUCCCCGCGGGUCUUCAGUUGCUGACAGCCAAUUCGGGUGGCGAUGAAGCAGCCAGUCCGGCCAAUCCCUGCACUGGACACAGCCAGGGAGGCGACAGGGAGGUCACAGGAGACCAGGGAACAUGGGGGCCAGUCCCCGUGGACAUUCCAAGGAGCCAUCUUCUGCGCAGCUGCAGGCAGCAGUGGUUUCCAGCUGUCAGGCCUGCUGAACUCCUGGGUCCGCCUUCUACCAUGACCUCAUUCCCCCAGUGGCUGACACUCAGCCCCCUUUCCCAGCUCUGCAUCCUUCCCAUAGCUGGCCCUCCACUCUGCUCUGUCUUGCUCUUUAUUUCCAAACCUGCCUGGCCCCCCUUUUUGGGAAGGCUUCUCGUCUGGAGCCCUGAUAGAAGCCACUCAGGACUUCCCAGCACUUAAGGUCCAGGUGUCACCUGCGAGGAGGGGGCUCAUGAGUCCCCCCUUGAUCUGUACUUUUUUUUCUUUUUUUAAGAUUUA